GCUAAACGCGAAGAACCUUACCUGGUCUUGACAUGUCUGGAAUCCCGAAGAGAUUUGGGAGUGCCGCAAGGAACCAGAACACAGGUGCUGCAUGGCUGUCGUCAGCUCGUGUCGUGAGAUGUUGGGUUAAGUCCAGCAACGAGCGCAACCCCUACUGUCUGUUGCCAUCAGGUUAAGCUGGGCACUCUGACGGGACUGCCGGUGACAAGCCGGAGGAAGGCGGGGAUGACGUCAAGUCAUCAUGGCCCUUACGUGUAGGGCUACAAACGUGCUACAAUGGCAGUGACAAUGGGCAGCCACUUCGCAAGAAGGCGCUAAUCCCAAAAAGCUGUCUCAGUUCAGAUUGUCCUCUGCAACUCGAGGGCAUGAAGUUGGAAUCGCUAGUAAUCGGCCAUCAGCAUGGGCCGGUGAAUACGUUCCCGGGUCUUGUACACACCG
rnacentral:rRNA from 1 species